AACUUUAAUUUGGUUACAUGUGGUUUUUGACAAAAUAAUUUGUGAGAUGGAUGCUAUUUUAUCAUGUAAGCAAAGUUAACAGCGAUUACAAGGUAUUUCUUUUCAUUUCUUUAAAGUGUUUUAUGCAUCGUCUGUACGUAGUCAUAAUUUAGCUCAUAAAUAGACCGACUACGAAUAAACCACGUUUAGCCCAGAAUAACCAUGAAUUUAAUUACAUGUUGUUUUGCCAAAAUUAUUUGUGAGAUGUAUGAUAUUUAAUAAUGUAAACAAAGUUCAAAGCAAUUAAUGUAUUUUGUUUCAUUUAUUUAAAGUGUUUCAUGCACCGUCUGUACUAGCCACUAUUUAGCUUACAAAUAGACCGACUACGAAUAACCCACGUUUAGCCCAGAAAUAACCAUUAAUUUAAUUAUAUGUUGUUUUGCCAAAAUGAUUUGUGAGAUGUAUGAUAUUUAAUCAUGUAAACAAAGUUCAAAGCGAUUAAGGUAUUUUGUUUCAUUUCUUUAAAGUGUUUUAUACACCGUCUGUACUAGCCACUAUUUAGCUUACAAAUAGACCGACUACGAAUAACCCACGUUUAGCCCAGAAAUAACCAUUAAUUUAAUUACAUGUGGUUUUUGCCAAAAUAACUUGUGAGAUGUAUGGUAUGUCAUUGUAAGCAAAGUUAACAGCGAUUACAAUGUUUAAUUUCUUUAAGUGUUUUAUGCACCGUCAUACAUAACCACUAUUUAGCUCAUAAAUAGACCGACUACGAACAAACCAUGUUUAGCCCAAAAUAACCUUGAAUUUAAUAAAAUUUUGUUUUUGCCAAAAUAACUUGCAAGAAUUAUGAUAUUUUAUCAGGCAUGCAAAGACACCAGUGAAAUAAGAUGUUUGGUUUUAUUUAUCUUAUCUGAAUAUCUGCUGUCACGCAUAACAUUCAUUAUUUGACCGUAUUUCAAAGAUAAACAAAAUCCAGUUACAACUCCGAACCGCUAGAUGGAAGCAGUACACAAACACGGGGCCAAAUCUCACGAGAAAGAUUUCCGCUUUUUGAAAAGCAACAACAUCAGCGAGCAGCCACGAGGAAAGUAUGUACCACACCUGUUUGGUCUUGUGUCAAAGCUGUGCGAAACUGGAGGGAGAAACUUGAGAGACCGUGCCGGAAGAAUGCUGGACAGAGUUCACUAAAAUUCAUUAAUUUCAAAGUUCAACAUGAAUGGUGGUGGUCCACUGCAGAAGCAAGCAUUUGAAAAAACAUCAGUUCUCAGUUAUUAAAGAUGCUGUGUUGAACAACUUCCCAGCAGCAACAGAACUGGAAGUGAAGGAUGCAAUGGGGGCAUUUCAAACAGGCACCAGGGAGCACGGGGGGGGGGGGGGGUAUAGAAAUUAGUACA